UACGUAGGAGGCGAGCGUUGUCCGGAGUUACUGGGCGUAAAGGGUGCGCAGGCGGCCGCGCGCGUGGCGGGUGAAAUCUCCCGGCGCAACUGGGAGGGGGCUGGCCAGACGGCGUGGCUUGAGGCUCGGAGGGGGGCGUGGAAUUCCGGGUGGAGCGGUGAAAUGCGUAGAGAUCCGGAGGAACACCGACGGCGAAGGCAGCGCCCUGGACGAGACCUGACGCUCAGGCACGAAAGCUGGGGGAG
rnacentral:rRNA from 1 species